rnacentral:tRNA from 1 species
GGCCCCGUCGUCUAGUGGACCAGGACACCAGGUUUUCAUCCUGGAAACAGGGGUUCGAUUCCCCUCGGGGCUA